rnacentral:rRNA from 1 species
GAUGAACGCUGGCGGCGUGCUUAACACAUGCAAGUCGAACGGAAAGGCCCGGCGCUUGUGGGGUGCUCGAGUGGCGAACGCGUGAGUAACACGUGAGUAACCUGCCCUUGUCUGUGGGAGAACAUCAGGAAACAGGGGCUAUUACCCGAUAGGAGCUCCUGCAGCAUGGGGGGGGUUGGAAAGUUUCGGCGGUUGGGGCUGGAUUCGCGGCUUAUGAGCUGGAUGGUGGAGUAGGGGCUUACCAAGGCUAUGACGGAUAGCCGGCCUGGGAGGGUGACCGGCCACCUUGGGCCUGCGGUACGGCCCAGACUCCUACGGGAGGCAGCAGUGGGGAAUAUUGCACAACGGGCGGAAGCCUGUGGUGGCAACGCCCGGUGCGGGAUGCCGGGCUUCGGGUUGUGAACCGCUUUCGCCUGUGACGAAGCGUGAGUGACGGUAAUGGGUAAGAAAGCACCGGCUAACUACGUG